rnacentral:lncRNA from 1 species
AGACCAGGACCAGAGUUAUAGUCAGGGCCUAUAGGGAGAAUAUAACUAGACCAGGACCAGAGUUAUAGUUAGGGUCUAUAGGGAGAAUAUAAAUAGACCAGAGUUAUAGAUAGGGCCUAUAGGGAGAAUAUAACUAGACCAGGGCCAGAGUUAUAGUUAGGGCCUAUAGGGAGAAUAUAACUAGACCAGAGUUAUAGUUAGGGUCUACAGGGAGAAUAAAACUAGACCAGGACCAGAGAUAUAGUUAGGGCCAAUGGUGAGAAUAUAACUAGACCAGGACCAGAGUUAUAGUUAGGGCCUAUAGGGAGGAUAUAACUACACCAGGACCAGAGUUAUAGUUAGGGCCUAUAGGGAGGAUAUAACUAGACCAGAGAUAUAGUUAGGGUCUAUAGGGAGAAUAUAACUAGACCAGAGUUAUAGUUAGGGCCUAUAGGGAGUAUAUAACUAGACCAGGACCAGAGUUAUAGUUAGGGUCUACAGGGAGAAUAUAACUAGACCAGGACCAGAGUUAUAGUUAGGGCCUAUAGGGAGGAUAUAACUAGACCAGAGUUACAGUUAGGGCCUAUAGGGAGGAUAUAACUAGACCAGAGUUACAGUUAGGGCCUAUAGGGAGGAUAUAACUGGACCAGGACCAGAGUUAUAGUUAGGGCCUAUAGGGAGGAUAUAACUAGACCAGAGAUAUAGUUAGGGUCUAUAGGGAGAAUAUAACUAGACCAGAGUUAUAGUUGGGGCCUAUAGGGAGGAUAUAACUAGACCAGAGUUACAGUUGGGGCCUAUAGGGAGGAUAUAACUCGACCAGGACCAGAGUUAUAGUUGGGGCCUAUAGGGAGAAUAUAACUAGACCAGGACCAGAGUUAUAGUUAGGGCCUAUAGGGAGAAUAUAACUAGACCAGGACCAGAGUUAUAAUUAGGGCCUAUAGGGAGAAUAUAACUAGACCAGGACCAGAGUUAUAGUUAGGGCCUAUAGGGAGAAUAUAACUAGACCAGAGUUAUAGUUAGGGUCUAUAGGGAGAAUAUAACUAGACCAGGACCAGAGUUAUAGUUAGGGCCUAUAGGGAGGAUAUAACUAGACCAGAGUUAUAUUUAGGGCCUAUAGGGAGGAUAUAACUAGACCAGGACCAGAGUUAUAGUUAGGGCCUAUAGGGAGAAUAUAACUAGACCAGAGUUAUAGUUAGGGUCUAUAGGGAGAAUAUAACUAGACCAGGACCAGAGUUAUAGUUAGGGCCUAUAGAGAGAAUAUAACUAGACCAGGACCAGAGUUAUAGUUAGGGUCUAUAGGGAGAAUAUAAAUAGACCAGAGUUAUAGUUAGGGCCUAUAGGGAGAAUAUAACUAGACCAGAGUUAUAGUUAGGGUCUAUAGGGAGAAUAUAACUAGACAAGAGUUACAGUUAGGGUCUAUAGGGAGGAUAUAACUAGACCAGAGUUAUAGUUAGGGUCUAUAGGGAGGAUAUAACUAGACCAGGACCAGAGUUAUAGUUAGGGUCUAUAGGGAGAACAUAACUAGACCAGGACCAGAGCUAUAGUUAGGGCCUAUAGGGAGAAUAUAACUAGACCAGGACCAGAGUUAUAGUUAGGGCCUAUAGGGAGAAUAUAACUAGACCAGGACCAGAGCUAUAGUUAGGGUCUAUAGGGAGAAUAUAACUAGACCAGGACCAGAGCUAAAGUUAGGGUCUACAGGGAGAAUAUAACUAGACCAGGACCAGAGUUAUAGUUAGGGUCUAUAGGGAGAAUAUAACUAGACCAGGACAAGAGCUAUAGUUAGGGUCUAUAGGGAGAAUAUAACUAGACCAGGACCAGAGUUAUAGUUAGGGCCCUUUUGUGAGAAUAUAACUAGACCAGGACCAGAGUUAUAGUUAGGUUCUAUAGGGAGGAUAUAACUAGACCAGAGUUAUAGUUAGGGCCUAUAGGGAGGAUAUAACUAGACCAGAGAUAUAGUUAGGGUCUAUAGGGAGAAUAUAACUAGACCAGAGUUAUAGUUAGGGCCUAUAGGGAGGAUAUAACUAGACCAGGACCAGAGUUAUAGUUAGGGUCUACAGGGAGAAUAUAACUAGACCAGGACCAGAGUUAUAGUUAGGGCCUAUGGGGAGGAUAUAACUAGACCAGAGUUACAGUUAGGGCCUAUAGGGAGGAUAUAACUAGACCAGAGUUACAGUUAGGGCCUAUAGGGAGGAUAUAACUAGACCAGGACCAGAGGUAUAGUUAAGGCCUAUAGGGAGAAUAUAACUAGACCAGGACCAGAGUUAUAGUUAGGGCCUAUAGGGAGAAUAUAACUAGACCAGGACCAGAGUUAUAGUUAGGGCCUAUAGGGAGAAUAUAACUAGACCAGGACCAGAGUUAUAAUUAGGGCCUAUAGGGAGAAUAUAACUAGACCAGGACCAGAGUUAUAGUUAGGGCCUAUAGGGAGGAUAUAACUACACCAGGACCAGAGUUAUAGUUAGGGCCUAUAGGGAGAAUAUAACUAGACCAGAGUUAUAGUUAUGGCCUUUAGGGAGAAUAUAACUAGACCAGGACCAGAGUUAUAGUUAGGGCCUAUAGGGAGGAUAUAACUAGACCAGAGAUAUAGUUAGGGUCUAUAGGGAGAAUAUAACUAGACCAGAGUUAUAGUUAGGGCCUAUAGGGAGGAUAUAACUAGAACAAGACCAGAGUUAUAGUUAGGGCCUAUAGGGAGGAUAUAACUAGACCAGAGUUACAGUUAGGGCCUAUAGGGAGGAUAUAACUCGACCAGGACCAGAGUUAUAGUUAGGGCCUAUAGGGAGAAUAUAACUAGACCAGUACCAGAGUUAUAGUUAGGGCCUAUAGGGAGAAUAUAACUAGACCAGGACCAGAGUUAUAGUUAGGGCCUAUAGGGAGAAUAUAACUAGACCAGGACCAGAGUUAUAGUUAGGGCCUAUAGGGAGAAUAUAACUAGACCAGAGUUAUAGUUAGGGUCUAUAGGGAGAAUAUAACUAGACCAGGACCAGAGCUAUAGUUAGGGCCUAUAGGGAGGAUAUAACUAGACCAGAGUUAUAUUUAGGGCCUAUAGGGAGGAUAUAACUAGAACAGGACCAGAGUUAUAGUUAGGGCCUAUAGGGAGAAUAUAACUAGACCAGAGUUAUAGUUAGGGCCAAUAGGGAGAAUAUAACUAGACCAGGACCAGAGUUAUAGUUAGGGCCUAUAGGGAGAAUAUAACUAGACCAGGACCAGAGUUAUAGUUAGGGUCUAUAGGGAGAAUAUAACUAGACCAGAGUUAUAGUUAGGGCCUAUAGGGAGAAUAUAACUAGACCAGAGUUAUAGUUAGGGUCUAUAGGGAGAAUAUAACUAGACAAGAGUUACAGUUAGGGUCUAUAGGGAGGAUAUAACUAGACCAGAGUUAUAGUUAGGGUCUAUAGGGAGGAUAUAACUAGACCAGGACCAGAGUUAUAGUUAGGGUCUAUAGGGAGAACAUAACUAGACCAGGACCAGAGCUAUAGUUAGGGCCUAUAGGGAGAAUAUAACUAGACCAGGACCAGAGUUAUAGUUAGGGUCUAUAGGGAGAAUAUAACUAGACCAGGACCAGAGCUAUAGUUAGGGCCUAUAGGGAGAAUAUAACUAGACCAGGACCAGAGCUAUAGUUAGGGCCUACAGGGAGAAUAUAACUAGACCAGGACCAGAGUUAUAGUUAGGGCCUAUAGGGAGAAUAUAACUAGACCAGGACAAGAGCUAUAGUUAGGGUCUAUAGGGAGAAUAUAACUAGACGAGGACCAGAGUUAUAGUUGGGGCCUAUUGUGAGAAUAUAACUAGACCAGAGUUAUAGUUGGGGCCUAUAGGGAGAAUAUAACUAGACCAGGGCCAGAGUUAUAGUUAGGGCCUACAGGGAGAAUAUAACUAGACCAGGACCAGAGUUAUAGUUAGGGUCUAUAGGGAGAAUAUAACUAGACCAGGACAAGAGUUAUAGUUAGGGCCUAUAGGGAGAAUAUAACUAGACGAGGACCAGAGUUAUAGUUAGGGCCCUUUUGUGAGAAUAUAACUAGACCAGAGUUAUAGUUAGGGCCUAUAGGGAGAAUAUAACUAGACCAGAGUUAUAGUUAGGGUCUACAGGGAGAAUAAAACUAGACCAGGACCAGAGAUAUAGUUAGGGCCAAUGGUGAGAAUAUAACUAGACCAGGACCAGAGUUAUAGUUAGGGCCUAUAGGGAGGAUAUAACUACACCAGGA